GCUAUACAUGCAAGUCGAGCGAAUGGAUUAAGAGCUUGCUCUUAUGAAGUUAGCGGCGGACGGGUGAGUAACACGUGGGUAACCUGCCCAUAAGACUGGGAUAACUCCGGGAAACCGGGGCUAAUACCGGAUAACAUUUUGAACCGCAUGGUUCGAAAUUGAAAGGCGGCUUCGGCUGUCACUUAUGGAUGGACCCGCGUCGCAUUAGCUAGUUGGUGAGGUAACGGCUCACCAAGGCAACGAUGCGUAGCCGACCUGAGAGGGUGAUCGGCCACACUGGGACUGAGACACGGCCCAGACUCCUACGGGAGGCAGCAGUAGGGAAUCUUCCGCAAUGGACGAAAGUCUGACGGAGCAACGCCGCGUGAGUGAUGAAGGCUUUCGGGUCGUAAAACUCUGUUGUUAGGGAAGAACAAGUGCUAGUUGAAUAAGCUGGCACCUUGACGGUACCUAACCAGAAAGCCACGGCUAACUACGUGCCAGCAGCCGCGGUAAUACGUAGGUGGCAAGCGUUAUCCGGAAUUAUUGGGCGUAAAGCGCGCGCAGGUGGUUUCUUAAGUCUGAUGUGAAAGCCCACGGCUCAACCGUGGAGGGUCAUUGGAAACUGGGAGACUUGAGUGCAGAAGAGGAAAGUGGAAUUCCAUGUGUAGCGGUGAAAUGCGUAGAGAUAUGGAGGAACACCAGUGGCGAAGGCGACUUUCUGGUCUGUAACUGACACUGAGGCGCGAAAGCGUGGGGAGCAAACAGGAUUAG
rnacentral:rRNA from 1 species